GUAGACAUUGGACAGCUCACAAAGAAAGAGCAGAGAAAGGCCAGGUUGGAGUGUGAUCAAGAAUGUGCUACACUGGAGAGGAACAGGCGGCUGGCUGAGGCCCUGCAGAUUGAUCAGUCAGUGGAUACCUUCAACAAGUCAACGUCUUCCAAAUAUAGUGACUCUCUCAAAGAAGAUGCAAGGGAAGAUUUCAAGUUUGUCAGUGAAAUUGAGGAGA